ACGCAUGCGUGCAGGAUCCCUGGGCAUAGUCGCUUGUUCUCCGCCCGCGGUGGACCAGCUGCGUAACGGUUCACACACUGAUGGCGCCUGGAGGUUUGGCGAAAUACUGACAGGAUGCGACGUCAACGGGAGCGCAGGGCCAAGAUACCCUUUAUAUCAAACCGUCUAUCCUGGAGCAGAAAAAUCCUGUCUUCAUUGCUAUAGCUACAGAUUCAGAAAUGAGCAUGUAACAAAUUCAGGCCAAAGAGAGGCAAUGGAAAUCAGAGAAACACUGUUCCUGAAAGCUUCUGUCACUCAAGAAUCCAUGAAACAUUCAUGAACUUCACAUCAGAAGCCAAGCCCAGAAAAUAUGGGUUUAAGGUUUGCCUAUAUGUCCAAUACAAGAGAAAAAAGAACAUUCCACUUCUUUAGAAGGUUCUACUUUGAUCUCCUGAUUCCAGUUGUGAAAAAAAAUUGUGCCUAAAGAAUAUAGUCCCUUUAUAGAAUUGUUUUGAAACCUACCACAGGUAUUUCUACACAGGUGCUAUUGUGGAGGUGCAUACCCAACAGUUUGAUAAUGUAGAGGAAGUGAUAGCUUUGUCUCGUGGAAUCUGGGUCGACCUCACAGAGGAGCUGUUAUUUGUUCUGGAUAUUGAACAGUGACAAGGAUUCAGUGGGAGAGAAAGAGGCGAGGAUUUUAAUGCAACUUGUUACACAAGAUGAACCCAAACAUAUUUGACUUUUUAUUUUCAGAAAAGCUUAAUACAUAGUUUUGAAUAUGGAUUGUCCCACAGGAUAAAUGCAUGAAAAAAGUUGGAAAAGAGAAAUUGAAUUACAUCCUAAUUGUAGUGUUUUCUCAGGCAGAUCAAUUUUAGAAAGAGAACAUUGACUUGGAAAACUGAAGAGUAAUUAUUCUAAAACGGUUGUAACAGUUUACUCCUUUUAUGUUUGCAAACUUCCAGGAUUAGUGAGUUGCAUAAAGUCACAUAAUUUAUUGCGUUGGUGCAAAAGUAAUUGUGGUUUUUGCCAUUAACAAAACCGCAAUUACUUUUGCAUCAGCCUAAUAUAAGUGAAUAAAUUAAUAUUAGAACACAGGUCUAAUUAAAAGGUUCUGCUGUGUUGUGUCCUGUGAUAACACAGAAAACAAACAAAUGGAUAAUUACAGAAAAAUUUUGGAUAUAAAAUUAGCAGGUAAUUUUCUCCCUCCUUUCCUUCCAUCUUUCCAUCCUUCUUUGCUUCCUUUGCUUUCUUCUUUUCCUUUGUUUUUUGUUUCUCUCUCUCUCUUUUUUUUUUUUUUUUUUUUUUUUUGCAAUUUGGAGAAGGAAGUACUUUAAAAGAAAAGUUAAAAGGCAGACAUAGAUAGCAUGAAGCCUAAUUGCAAGAUCUUUUUCAAACAUAUUAGUUUUAGGAAAUAGCACCUGAAUUUAAGUCCCUUAAAAUUGUCUAUGUCUUCACGUCCAAGUCUCUAUAUUUGCAGGGCUGUGUACAAUCUAGACUGAACAUGCUUGACCUAAAAACAGAAGUAAUACCUGGGGCAAAGCACGAUGUGCACCACAGUCUUCUCUCUUUAGUGUGUUAAGAUAAAGUUGAUUCCCAGAGUAGCCUGCCAUCACUAACUCUGAGGGAUGGUGGGCUAAUUUUGAUAGAAGGAGCAGAGGUGGUAGUUAGGAGGAAGGUGACUCAUCAUCAUUGUAUCAGCAGGCAUUGAUGACUGGAAAUAUCAGGGGGCACAGCCUGAAAGAGAAUGGCUUAAUUGGAAUUGAUAGUGGGAACUUGGAAAUCAAUACAUAUGCACUGAACAGAAAAUGGUAUGCUAUAAUCUACUAUACACUGUAUGUGAAACCCAAGCUCCAAAUUUUUCGGCCCAUGCAAUGUCCAGUAAAAUUUCUCUUAGUUACAUUAUAAUUGCAAUGUACAUGUAUUUGAGGAAAAAAAAAGUGAAAGAAAAAGUAACUAAAGAAAAGUGGAAAUGCAAAACUUUGUUUUUAUUAAUGUUAAAAUUUAUUUUGAUCAACUUGCUAUUCUUAAAAUUGACCAAUCUUCUUCCCUUCCUUGCCUCUUCCAUGGUUUAUAGGAUUAUUUUUCAGGGCUGAUCAGUUGGUGUUACAUGUGACUACUAUGCUUAAUGCUAUCUGGCUUCUAACUUUAAGCACUGAAAAAAAGUCCUUCGUAUUUCUCAGUGUGUGAUUGAACUGAGAUGACCAUCCUAAGCCUCCUCAUUACAUAAAUCCUUACCUUCUCCAGAAGCAACGAAUGGUGUUGAGAAUAGCAUAUGUUACUACUCAGCCAUAUUCCAUAGCCUUUUCUCCAAGAUAUUUUUCCAAAGUUGCCCCUUUUCUGAAUCCCUUGCAAGCAAACAAACAACAAAACAAUGGGUAAUAAAAUAAUUGUUUAACUUUCAUUUAUAUGCUCUGAGAUUGAUGUGAUUUUGAUAAAUAACUAUAUUAAAAGACAAAUGGGAGUGGUGAUUUUGUGAAAAGCCCAUGCCUCUGCCCAUGGAAUAUGUGGCUUGGCCUGGAGCUCUUAUUUUACUUAUAUAUUUCUAAGCAGAAUUAUUCAAGAAUGUCUCUUAUUACAGGUCUUGAAACUUGGACAGCCAACAGAAAGGAAGCUAAUAAAUAAAUUUGUCAGAACACGAUUCUCAGUUUCACUUAUUUUGAAUUAAAGGUAACCUGGAAAAUGGAUUAGGAAAACAGCCUAUAAUCAGAGGAGUGACCCCAGUGAGACCCUGUCAUUAAAACUUUAGUGUUGAGCCUGCAAACCUCUGUUCCUCUGAUUAGGCAAUUUACUCCAUUUCCACCUUUCUGUCUGCCAAAACAUUUAGUGGCAAAACAUUUUCUAAUUCUCUAGACUCAUAAAAUGUUGUUUUGAAAAAAAGUAAAACAGAAUGGAUUACCUUUUUAAGCUGUCUAUCAUAAUGUAAUCAGAAAACAUGAGGGAUUAAUAGAUAAUAUUGUAAAGAGGCAAAGGCAGCAGAUGUUAUUUAGAUGAGCAGAAGGUCACAGACCUCUGUUGAGGAUUGAAAGCUUGAGGUACGUGCCUUUGUUCCUCAGUGUGUGUGGAUCAGAGUGAUUACUGAUAUCAGUUAGCAACAUGGUGGAGGGGACAAACUGGGGCUGCAUUUUCACUAUGUUUAUUAUUGCUCAAGGUCAAAAAGUGACUGUGUAGUGCCUCAGUUUUUACAUCUUUGUGUUAUCAAUAUUUUUUUCUAUUACCUUACAAGUUUAUUUUGAUGCUGUAAUGAUGAGACAGUGUUUUGAAAAGUUCUAAAUAAAUAAAAGGGUAUUCUCUAACUUUUAAA
rnacentral:lncRNA from 1 species